GGGUUGUGAGGUUAAGCGACUAAGCGUACACGGUGGAUGCCCUGGCAGUCAGAGGCGAUGAAGGACGUGCUAAUCUGCGAAAAGCGUCGGUAAGGUGAUAUGAACCGUUAUAACCGGCGAUGUCCGAAUGGGGAAACCCAGUGCAAUUCGUUGCACUAUCGUUAACUGAAUACAUAGGUUAACGAGGCGAACCGGGGGAACUGAAACAUCUAAGUACCCCGAGGAAAAGAAAUCAACCGAGAUUCCCCCAGUAGCGGCGAGCGAACGGGGAGCAGCCCGGAGUCUGAAUCAGCUUGUGUGUUAGUGGAAGCGUCUGGAAAGUCGCAGGGUACAGGGUGAUACUCCCGUACACUAAAACACACAGGCUGUGAACUCGAAGAGUAGGGCGGGACACGUGGUAUCCUGUCUGAAUAUGGGGGGACCAUCCUCCAAGGCUAAAUACUCCUGACUGACCGAUAGUGAACCAGUACCGUGAGGGAAAGGCGAAAAGAACCCCGGCGAGGGGAGUGAAAAAGAACCUGAAACCGUGUACGUACAAGCAGUAGGAGCCCACUAGUUGGGUGACUGCGUACCUUUUGUAUAAUGGGUCAGCGACUUAUAUUCUGUAGCAAGGUUAACCG
rnacentral:rRNA from 1 species